UACGUAGGGAGCGAGCGUUGUCCGGAAUUACUGGGCGUAAAGGGCGCGUAGGCGGGAACUUAAGUUAGAUGUGAAAACUCCGGGCUUUACCUGGAGACUGCAUUUAAAACUGGGUUUCUUGAGGGCAGGAGAGGAAAGUGGAAUUCCUAGUGUAGCGGUGAAGUGCGUAGAUAUUAGGAGGAACACCAGUGGCGAAGGCGACUUUCUGGACUGUACCUGGCGCUGAGGCGCGAAAGCAUGGGGAGCGAACAGG
rnacentral:rRNA from 1 species